AACGAACGCUGGCGGCAUGCCUAACACAUGCAAGUCGAACGAGACCUUCGGGUCUAGGGGCGCACGGGUGCGUAACGCGUGGGAACCUGCCCUUAGGUUAGGAAUAACUCCCCGAAAGGGGUGCUAAUACCGGAUAAUCUCUUCGGACCAAAGAUUUAUCGCCUUUGGAUGGGCCCGCGUUGGAUUGGCCAGUUGGUAGUGUAAAAGCCUGCCAAGGCGACGAUCCAUAGCUGGUCUGAGAGGAUGAUCAGCCACACUGGGACUGAGACACGGCCCAGAACGGGACGGAGGGCAGGAGUGGGGUAUAUUAGGCGAGGAACGAAGGCCUAAUACAGCAAUGCCGCGUAAGUGGUGAAUGCCUUAGGGUUGUAAAGCUGUUUUACCCGGGGUGAUAAUGACGGUACCGGGUGAAUAAGCUCCGGCUAACUCCGUG
rnacentral:rRNA from 1 species